UAUCCCCUUCUUACCCUAAAAUAUCCAAACACUCUGAUACCUUAACUCUUAUUAAAUCAUCCUCAAAUUUUCAAAAUACUCAAUCUAUCUUCUCCAUUCCAUCUGAAGACUGGGUUGGUAUGAAGAUUCCUUUCAUGGCUACGAUGGAUCUGAGCUGAAUCACACAUCAAUUUUUUUUCUUACAGCUCUAAUUGAAGCACAAUAAGGGGGUUCAGUAACAGACAAAGCAGAAGAACAAUUUUCAUAAAUCUCCCUUAACGAUCAGAAUUUCGCUGGUGGAGUCUCACUGAAAGAAUCAAUUGCAGAAGAACUGCUGCCACUUCCUCGGGGGAUCAAGCUGUGAUCACGUGCUGGAGCAGAGGUUUUUGAUUAAUGAGUAGCACAACUGCAACUUGUUGGAGAAGAGCUGGAUGCGUUCCCUGGAACAAAAAUUGUUAUUUGAAUUUCAAGAAGUAUACCCAACUCAUUCGACUAUGAUCAUCUGUAAAAAUCAGAAAAUAUGGACUUCCACCUAAGGAAUCAACACUCAUUGGACCACAUAGAUCAACAUGCACCAGUUCAAGACAAACAGAUGGUCUCCAAGACUUAAAUUCAAGUGACCAUACAGAAAAUGUCACAAAUUGUCUUUGUAUUGCCUUUGGUGACUAAGGCAAAACAUUGAACAUUAGAAACCUGAAGAGGAAACAUUCUAAUUUUGAGUUAUUUGAAUGUCAACAAUUUUGUGUCCUGAAAUUUUUGAAUACUACAGGAAUUGUCAUCAAACAAAAUAGAAUAUCCACGAUUCAUUAGUUGCCCAACACUCAACAAGUUAUGGGCCAAACAAGGAACACAUCGCACAUCAUGGAGAAGUUUGACAUUACCAUGAGAAGUUUUUAAAGUGAUUGUACCUUUUCGGUCGACUGUCAUUUCCAAGACAAACUUUUGACUUCUCCAAUUCAUCAAGUUCUUGAAUAGUGACCUUCUGCUCGACAUGUGGUUUGAGAAACCACUAUCAAUGAUCCAUACAUCAUCUGAACUAACAUCUAUUGAGGAGUGCAACAUGAACUAAUUAAACCUCAUCUUGUUGUUGCUCACUAAAAUUGGCAUCUGUUUGUUCAUCCUUAUGUUUUAGUCCAAAAAUCAGCUUCCUUGUGCCCUAUUUUCUACAAUAGCGGCAUUGAAUAUUGCUCUUGAAUUGCCGGUGCUCACCACCAAACUGAGCUCGUCCUCUGCCAUGACUUCUUCCACGGAAACUGCCUCUGCCUCCAUAUCCUCUGGCAUUUGAAACUUCUGAUUUGCUUGAAAGAAGACUCCCCCUUGAUCUGAAAUGCCUUCUCUUUGCCCUUUUCUUGAAAAGCAUUCAGUCUAUCCUCAUAAUCUUACAAUGAAUUCAUCAAUGCAUCAAAACCAUUAUUAGAUAAAUCACGGGACUCUUCAAUAGCAACUACAACAUGAUCAAAUCUCCUAUUAAGAUUUCACAAAACUUUAGAAACUAUCGUUUCAUCAGUAAUUUUUUCACCGUAUGCCUUCGUAUGAUUAACAAUUGCACUCACCCAAGAUAAGUAGCCUUGAACAGAUUCACUACUUUUCAUGGAUGAAUUUUUGAAAUCACGCCGGAGUGAUUGGAGUUUAAUAGUCAUUACCUUUGUCGAGCCGUGGAAUUAUUUUUUUAGAAUAUCCCAUGCCUACUUUGAGGUUUCUGCAACAAAAUUUCUGGAAAAUGAGUCAUACAUCGCUUGUUGGAUGUAAAACAGAGCCUUGGAGUCCUUUUUGUUCUCCCGCAAUGUUUGUACUUCAUCUUCCUUAGCAUAGCCCUUUUCUACCAAAUCCCACAAUUCUUGAGACUUGAACAAAGUCUUCAUCUUGAUGCUCCAAAAUUCAUAUUUAUCCCCAUCAAAGAUGGGAAUUAGUUGUUGACAUGUGGUUGAUAAUCAUUUGGUAGACAUUUUUUGUUCUCAAUUGUCACUUUCUUCUUGCUACUAGUUUGCUCUCAAUUGGACCUAACCUGGCUCUUGAUACCAAUUUGGUUGGAGAAUAAAGAAAGAAGCAACAAUAUAUGAGAAGAUAGAAGAAGAGUUGCAGAGAACUUUUACGUUAUAUUUCUGAUAUUCAUAAAGAAAAUACAUAGGACACUUCAAAUAGGAAUUAAGGCUCAACCACAAGACCCACUAAACCAUAACCUUACCCACUAAGUUAUUAGCAACUAACAAAAGACUUUGACUCAACUAAGACUCCUAACAAACGUGUUACUCUGCCUACUAAAUAGGAACUUCUAAUUACGUUUCAAUCAAUAUUCAACACUUUCGUCGGAGUUCUUUUCACGUGGUGGUGAAAUAGUUCAUUCCAAUUCGUCGUCGCAUGUUCGCGGCCCAUAACCAGUGGUAUACUCAUUUAAAUAGUGAGCUUGUUCAAGGAAUAACACACUGAUCCAGCAAGCCGUGACAUUUUCAAUUAGGGAACCAACACCGGCUUAAUUGUCUUUUUUCCUCCAUUAUUGAACACAUUUUUUAUAUUUUGAUAAUUCGUAGUUUCUUUUACCGCUAUAAGAUAAGAAAUUGAAUGUAUUUAGAUUUUUUGUUCUUAUUUUAAGUGAAUGACAUUGUUUUGAGUUUGGUAAUUCUUCUUACUACCUU